GUGGAUUAGAUACCCUGGUAGUCCACGCCCUAAACGAUGUCAACUAGCUGUUGGGGUUUUAUAGCCUUGGUAGCGCAGCUAACGCGAGAAGUUGACCGCCUGGGGAGUACGGUCGCAAGAUUAAAACUCAAAGGAAUUGACGGGGACCCGCACAAGCGGUGGAUGAUGUGGAUUAAUUCGAUGCAACGCGAAAAACCUUACCUACCCUUGACAUGUCUGGAAUUCUGAAGAGAUUUAGGAGUGCUCGUAAGAGAACCGGAACACAGGUGCUGCACGGUUGUCGCCAGCU
rnacentral:rRNA from 1 species